GCAUAAUGUAGCUCAGUUGAUUAGACCGUGGUGCUGGUAAUGCCAACGUCACAGGUUUGAUCCCUGCAUAGGACAGCUGCG